UACGUAGGGUGCAAGCGUUAUCCGGAAUUAUUGGGCGUAAAGAGCUCGUAGGCGGUUUGUCGCGUCUGCUGUGAAAACUGGGGGCUCAACCCCCAGCCUGCAGUGGGUACGGGCAGACUAGAGUGCGGUAGGGGAGAUUGGAAUUCCUGGUGUAGCGGUGGAAUGCGCAGAUAUCAGGAGGAACACCGGUGGCGAAGGCGGGUCUCUGGGCCGUAACUGACGCUGAGGAGCGAAAGCAUGGGGAGCGAACAGG
rnacentral:rRNA from 1 species